GGGGCGCAGCCGAGAUCCCCUGCUUCCACCCCGACCCACCCUGCCCGGGUGAAAACCUUAUAUCCUCUCGGAUUUGGCGGCGGCGGCGCCUUGCGCGCCGUGACCUUGCUGGAGGCGCCGUUAGGGAGGCGGGAUGCGGUCGGGAGGCGCUGCAGGUGAGGGACGGAGCUGCCUCCUCUUCAUCGUCCGAUUCCACGAAGCGUAUUUCCACCUAGCUGGGCAUGGACCGUGGCGGAGCGGCCGGCUAGGGAUAUCCCAAAUUGAAGUGGCCGCACUAUGUCCACCUUCCGAUGUGAGGGCGGCAUUCUUCGAGCUCUAGGGUGAGCUCCUCGAAACCCCGACGGUGCGGCGCCUACGAGCCAUGGCGAGGGGGUAGGGUCCCUCUUCGGUGAUUGAGAUGGAAGAUGUUGUUCCCCUUCUUCUCUAGGUGUUCCUGGAGCAUGGCCAUCUUUGAAGGUCGGAUAUGCCCUGCUUUGCUGCUCUGCUUUUCCUCAUAUGAUCCUAGUGUGGAGUGCUCGGCCUUUGCAAGCUGUAAUCUUAAUUUCCUUUGCAUUAGCUGCUUGUGGAGGUUGUAGUUAGCGUUUCAGUCCAGUGUUCCCAUUGUAUCCUUCUGACCGCUGUAAUUUGGUUGUUUGCUGUAACUCCUGGCCGGUUGAUGGCUUUGUUAAUUCAAAGCCGGGCUCCUCGCAAGCCUUCGUUCUAAAAAAAAAAAGAACUACUGCAAUUCUCUGUGCAACAAGUGCUGGACUGUGAAUACCAUCGGGAAGGCUGCAAAGGGGGUCAGUUCAGCUUCGCAUUUCAAUAUAUUGAGCAGAAUGGCUUAACAACAGAACAGGAGUAUCCAUUCAAUGAGUAUGUCUAUGAAGAUGAUGUACGCGUGACAGAAUGCCAGUCUUUUGGCAAGCCUUUGAUAGCAAGAAUUGGUGGGUCUCUGAAGGUUCCGCGAUCUGAUCACUACCUGAUGAAGGCUGUUUCUAUAAAUCCUGUCGCUAUCACCAUCUUUAUUGAUCCAUCUUCUUUUGAUCAGUAUGAUGGUGGUUUGAUGACAAUUGAGAAAUACCCCCCACCUGACUCAUUUGAUGACAUUGGGGAAGGGAAGAAGUUUCAACCUCACGGUGUUCUAGUUGUUGCUUAUGGCAUAGAUGAGGAUGGAAAGAAGUUUUGGCUAUGCAAGAACUGCCAUGGUGAAGAUUUUGGAAAAAAAAGGGUAUCUCUAUCUUGAGAGGGGUGUUUCUGACAGCAAGGGUGUCUGUGGGAUGCAUAUGACUCGUGGGGAAUAUCCCAUCCCUCCAUCUGGCGUAAAACACCCCAUUGAGCUUACAAUGGAACAUCGCCUACGAACAUACCUUAAAAAUCAAGAUGCUGUGCAGACGUCUGUGAAUGAAAGCAAUGACGUGCAGAAGUGCACAUAAACUUGUUCAGAAGCAAAAGUGCUGGCAACCAAAAGGUCAAUGCACAGAUCAGAAGGUGCUGAAGAAGAUACACUGCUGCAUUUCAUGCUUCCAGUUUAAAGGGCCAGAAUGAUGAAGUGCGUCGCUUGUUGUUGAAGUAAUGGUGUAUCCCCUCCUUUGUUAGUUGGACGGUCGGUUGUAGAAGUUGUAAUUUGAUUGUUUGGUAGCUAAAGGCUAUUUGGAGUAAAGUGAAUGAGUUCUCUGAAAUCAGUUGGUCAUAAUUUUGAAUCUGUAGUUUGUUUUUUGGUUAGUAACACUAGACAUGCUGUUUCGAGCACUUCUUGCGCAGCCAUUUUCUGGAGUUUCUAGAAAUAUAUGAAUGUUAUCAUUUUUAGCCCCA